rnacentral:lncRNA from 1 species
ACGGCUUUGAUGAAGGAGUAGGUCACCGGCCCCCUUUAUCUGUUCUUAGUUGGCCUGGUGAAAUGGAUGCUUAAAAUGCAGUCAGUCAGCUGGGCAGAGAUAACACACACCUUUGAUCCCAGCAGUUGGGAGGCAGAGGCAGGCGGAUCUCAGUGAGUUCUAGGACAGCCUGGUCUACAAAGCAAGUUCCAGGACAGCCUGGGCUGUUACACAGAGAAACCCUGUCUCAAAAAAAAAAAAAAAAAAAAAAAAAAGGAAGAAAAAAGAUGCUGUCACUCAGCCUCAGGAAGGAAGAGAUUAUGCAUAGCUGUGUCCCUGGAAAACCGUGCAGGUGGCGUUUCACCAACUGUGCUAUGUUUGAAAAGCAUGAAGAAGGCUUCCCAAUGGAAGAAAUUCUGCAAUUGACUGAAACUCAAAAGAAAAGCAGCUUUUUAAAGAAAACCCAAAAAGAGAAGCAGGAGAAACCAUGGCAAGUGUACUGGCAGCCUCAGAACACAGGCCUGGCACCUGUCAGCCUUGAGCGGCACCUGGGCAAGGACCCCCAACUCCUAGCAGAACAGACAGACACUGAACUUGAGGGUUCACCUGAACUGGCUGGCCAGCAUGCCCAAGGGACUGCCUGUCUCCACCCUGCCUGCUCCCAGCACUGGGGGUACAGGAGCAUUCCACCAUACUUGGCUUCUUUGUAGGCAAUGGGGAUCCGAACCCAGGUCCCCAGCCCCAGCUUCCUGAAGACACACCUGUCUACAGAUAAACUCCACAGAACACCCAGACAGGGAUGCUCCAAUCUGAAAGGCUCGUGUUGGUGUAAGCACUUGGUGUAAGACUCGAUGCUUGGACCAUAAAUUUUGUCAAUUUCCUAGAAGGGAGCUGCUGGGAAUGUCUGUUUCUGUUAUGAAAUAGAAUUGAAUCAUAAAGAUA